AUGCUUACUUUAGCAGCACAUGUACUAAAAUUAGAACCAUACAGAGAAGAUUGGCGUGGCCCCUGAACAAGGAUGACCCGCAAAUUCACGAAGCAUUCCAUAUUAAA
rnacentral:snRNA from 3 species